rnacentral:rRNA from 1 species
GACGAACGCUGGCGGCGUGCUUAACACAUGCAAGUCGAACGGAAAGGCCCAGCUUGCUGGGUACUCGAGUGGCGAACGGGUGAGUAACACGUGGGUGAUCUGCCCCUGACUUUGGGAUAAGCCUGGGAAACUGGGUCUAAUACCGGAUAUGACCUUACAUCGCAUGGUGUUUGGUGGAAAGCUUUUGCGGUUGGGGAUGGGCCCGCGGCCUAUCAGCUUGUUGGUGGGGUAAUGGCCUGCCAAGGCGACGACGGGUAGCCGACCUGAGAGGGUGAUCGGCCACACUGGGACUGAGACACGGCCCAGACUCCUACGGGAGGCAGCAGUGGGGAAUAUUGCACAAUGGGCGCAAGCCUGAUGCAGCGACGCCGCGUGAGGGAUGACGGCCUUCGGGUUGUAAACCUCUUUCACCAGGGACGAAGCGUGAGUGACGGUACCUGGAGAAGAAGCACCGGCCAACUACGUG